GCCAGGCACAGUGGCAUAUGUCUGUAGUCCCAGAUGCUAGGAGGCUAAGGCAGGAGGGUUGCUUGAGCCUAGGAGUUCAAGACCACUCUGGGAAACACAGGGAGACCCUGUCUCAA
rnacentral:sRNA from 1 species